rnacentral:rRNA from 1 species
GCGCAGCAGGCGAGAAACCUCCGCAAUACACGAAAGUGUGACGGGCCAUCCCGAGUGCCGUCCGCUGAGGACGGCUUUUCCCCAGUGUACAUAGCUGGGGGAAUAAGGAGAGGGCAAGCCUGGUGUCAGCCGCCGCGGUAAUACCAGCUCUCCGAGUGGUGGGGACGCUUAUUGGGCCUAAAGCAUCCGUAGCCGGCUGGGCAAGGUCCUCCGUCAAAUCCAACGAUUCAAUCGUUGGGCUGCGGGGGAUACUGUCCAGCUUGGGGGCGGGAGAGGCCGACGGUAUUCCCGAGGUA